AUAAAAUAAUUAUGUUUUUAUAAAUUUAUUAUAAAUUUAUUUUACAUAUAAAUUUUAGUGUUUAAUUUUAAUUAUUUUAAAAAUAAUAAAAUUAAAUAUUAGUAGUAAUUAAUAUUAAAUAUUUAAGAAAUUAAGAUUUAGUAAUAUUUAAAUUAGUAACUAAUUUUGUGCCAGCAGUUGCGGUUAAACAAAAAUUAAAUUAAAUUAUUUCAGUUUAUAAUAAAUAUUAAAUUGUUUAAAUUAAAUUUUAAAUUAUUAAGUAAAAUUUUAAUUUAAUUAAAUUUUAUAUUAAAAUUAUGAUUUAAUAAAUUUUAAUAUAAACUAGGAUUAGAUACCCUAUUAUUAAAAAUUUAAUUUAUAAUACUAAAAUAGUAAAUAAUAAUUUAUUGAAACUUAAAUAAUAUGGCGGUAUUUUAGUUCAUUUAGAGGAAUCUGUCUAAUAAUUGAUAAUCCACGAUUAAAUUUACUUAAUUUAUAAUUUUGUAUAUCAUUGUUAAAAAAAUAUUUUUUAGUGAUAAUAAUAUUUAAAAUUUAAUAAUAAAAGUUAAUUCAGAUCAAGAUGCAGAAUAUAAUUAAGAAUAUGAUGGAUUACAUUAAAUAUAUUUAAAUGAAUAAUUUAUUGUAAAAUAAAUUUGAAAGUGGAUUUAAAUGUAAUUUUAAUUAGUUUAUUAAAAUGAUUAAUAAUUAAAAUAUGUACAUAUUGCCCGUCACUUUCAUUUUAAAGUUGAAAUAAGUCGUAACAAAGUAGAGGUACUGGAAAGUGUUUCUAGAAAGA
rnacentral:ncRNA from 1 species